AUCUAGCUGACGAGUCCCAAAUAGAACGAAAUGCGCAUCCUGGAU
rnacentral:hammerhead_ribozyme from 1 species